CUUCCCUUUCCUUCCUUUCUUUUUGGUUUAGAGAAGCCCUUUCAAUAUUUCCUUUAACCUGGGUUUUGUGUUGCUGUAUUCUUUAAGUUUUUGUUUGUUGGGAAAAAUUUUUAUUUCCCCUUCUAUUUUAAAUGAUAUUCUUGCUGGAUAAAGUAUUCUAGGUUGCAUAUUUUUUCCUUUGAGCACUUUAAAUAUCUCUUGCCAUUCCCUCCUGGCCUGUAGUGUUUCUGUAGAGAAAUCAGCUGAUAUUCUUAUGGGGGUUCCCUUGUAGGUAACAUUCUGUUUUUCUCUUGCUGCCUUUAGGAUCCUCUCUUUAUCACUAACUUUUGCCAUUUUUAUUAUGAUGUGUCUUGGUGUGGGUCUGUUUGGGUUCAGUUUGUUUGGGGCCCUCUGUGCUUCUUGUAUCUUGAAUCCAGUAUCCUUUAGAUUUGGGAAGUUUCCAGCGAUAAUUUCUUCAAAUAUAUUUUCCAUUCCCUUAUCUUUUUCUACUCCUUCUGGAAUUCCUAUUAUGCGUAGAUUGGCCCGUUUUAUAUUAUCCCAUAGGUCUCUUAUAUUGCUUUCCUGUUUUUUGAUUCGGUUUUCUGUCUGUUGACCAGAUUGAGUGAUUUCCAUUAUUCUAUCUUCCAUAUCACUGAUUCGUUCUUCUGCAUUAUUCAUUCUGGUUUUUACUGCCCCUAGUUCAGUUUGCAUCUCUGCAAAUGAAUGUUCUAGUUUUUCUUGGCUCCUCCUUAUAUUUUCAAUUUCCUUUCUGAGGGUAUCUGCAUUACUGUUCAUAUCUUCUCUUAAUUCCUUCAGUGUUUUCACUAUUUCUCUUUUGACUCCAGGUCUGUCAGACUGCCGAGAUCUGUUUCAUUGUUGACUGUUAGGUGAUUUCUCCUGUUGGUUUGACUGGGGGUGGUUUCUCAGCUUCUUCAUCUUGCUUGUUGUUUUCUUUCUCCUGAGGGAGUUGUACUCUCCGUGAUCGGGCAGUGUUUGCCUUGUCACUGCCGUGGAAUAUUUCCUGAGGGCUGGCGUUGUUGGUCAAUCUUUUUUGAGGCAGUGUGGCUUUUCUGGAGUGUUGAUGGGGCUAACAGUGUUUCUUUGAAGCAAAGGAGGACUUCCUCAGGGCAGACAGGAAUGGGAGGUCCACAGCACGAUGGUAGCAGAUUUCACUUGGUCAUGCAGAGCUUGCUCUGGUGUUUUUAGGCUGAGGGGUCCUUGCAGGUAGUUGGCAAUGUUGGGCACCUGCUCUUCAGGGGUGCAUCCCCACCUGGGGGCUGGAGCAGCUCUCUGGGUCACUGAGAACCUAAGAGGCUCUUCCCUAGGGCAGCCCAACUCAGAAGGACAGCCUGAGAAUGUAGGCGGAUGUUUUCACAGUCUGGCCGAGGCUUGUUGCAGCUUUUCUGGGCUGCAGGGGGUCCUGCCUGGAGCUGGCAGUCCUAUGCAGCUGGUCCACUAGGUCUCAGCACCCCCUGGGGGCUUGGGCGUGUAGCAAGGCCCUUGGAGACCCAUGAGGCUCCUCCCUGGGGCAGCCUGUCUCAGAAAAACCUUUGGAGAAUUAGGCCUAUCUAUUCACGGCCUGGCUAGGCUUGUUCUAGCUUUUCUGGGCUGCAGGCCUUUUCUUGGGGGCUGGUGGUGUUUGGUGCUGCUCUGCGGAAGUGUAGCCCCUCCAAAGGGCAAGCAGGCCUGUGCAGGGAUAGCCCCUGCGGUGGUAGGCUUCAGGCAAUUGUUGAGGCCAGCCCUCCUGGAUGGCAGGCAGCCCCAGGUUCGGCGAGAGCAUAGUGGGUGGCGUGGGUGGGGGAGGGAAUGCACUGGGAAGCAGAGUUUUAUGCUAGCUAGUGGGUCUGUAAGCUUGCUGUGGCGUGGGGGGUAUUCUAUGGGGACCCACUCUUUCUUCUCUCCCCUUCCCAGCACUGGCGCAGACCAGGCUCUUCUCCCAGGUUCCCUCUGAUGUGGCUUUCCACUUCCCCGCUCCUAGGGUAUUGUUCCCUUCCUCUGCGACAGCUUUGUCUUCUAGUCUCCCAGGCAGUCUCUGCCCCGUCAAAUGGUUUCUAGACCUCCCAAGCACUUUCCGCUCUGCCCCGGCCCCUAGCCCAGGGACUAAUCUCUGGAGCCGAGGUCUCCAUGCUCAGCCCCCACCCAGGCGUCCCCCGGCCCUUUCUUGGGGACUCACCUUCGGAGGCGAGGUCUCGGUGCCCAGCCCCCACCAAGGCGUCCCCCGGCCCUUUCCGGGGACUAACCUCUGGAGCCGAGGAUUCGGUGCCCAGCCCCCACCCAGUCGUCUCAAUUUUUGGUGACUGUGCCCGUAGUUCAGAUGGUCCGUUGGGUUCUUGAUCGGUUUUUCCGUACUCCGACUUACUGCUACACUCUUCUCUGCAUCUGGGGAUUCAGAGUAGGUGACCUUUCCAAUGUGUGGGAUCCCUUUCUCCUCCACAGUUCCCUUUCGGGAUUGCCCGUCCCACUCGGAUUCACCUUCUCUCACUCUCCUCUUUUCUCCCAUUCUGCCCAAUAAUAUCACGAACUUCUUGCUGUUAUUGGAGUUUAGGUUCCUCUGCCAGCGAUUGGUUGCUGUUCUGUGUGAGUCAUUUAUUCUGUAGAUGUGCUUUUUUUGUGGUGUUUGUGGGAGAGGGCGAGCAUGUCCCCCUACUCCUCCGCCAUCUU
ensembl:lncRNA